rnacentral:misc_RNA from 1 species
AACUUUUGGCAAUGGAUCUCUUGGCUCUCCUAUCGAUGAAGAACGCAGCGAAAUGCGAUAAGUAAUGUGAAUAGCAGAAUUCAGUGAAUCAUCGAAUCUUUGAACGCACCUUGCGCCCUUUGGUAUUCAGAAGGGCAUGCUUGUUUGAGUGUCAUUAAAUUAUCAACCUUGCUCGCUUUUACCGGCUUGAGUUAGGCUUGGACGUGAGGGUUUUGCUGGCUUCCUUUUUUAUGGAUUGUCUGCUCUCUUUAAAUUCAUUAGUGGGAUCCUUUGUGUAUGGUCGCUUGGUGUGAUAAUUAUCUACGCCGCUUGACUCUGACGCAAGACUUGUGGGAACCUGCUUAUAACCGUCUCUUCACAGAGACUAUCUUUUGACAAUUUGACCUCAAAUCAGGUAGGACUACCCGCUGAACUUAAGCAUAUCAAUAAGCGGA